GGGCCCGUAGCUCAACGGUAGAGCCGCCGGCUCAUAACCGGUAGGUUCCAGGUUCGAAUCCUGGCGGGCCCACCA
rnacentral:tRNA from 1 species